rnacentral:rRNA from 1 species
CGGUGUUUAACUGGCGUGAUGUGGGACGUCCUACCGGUGGGCCUAGCCUCGCGAGGGGCGGCCCAACUAAUAUCCCGUCGCGGUGCUCUUUACUGAGUGUCGAGUCGGGCCGGUACGUUUACUUUGAACAAAUUAGAGUGCUUAAAGCAGGCUAUCCUCGCCUGAAUACUGCGUGCAUGGAAUAAUGGAAUAGGACCUCGGUUCUAUUUUGUUGGUUUUCGGAACCCCGAGGUAAUGAUUAAUAGGGACAGAUGGGGGCAUUCGUAUUGCGACGUUAGAGGUGAAAUUCUUGGAUCGUCGCAAGACGGACAGAAGCGAAAGCAUUUGCCAAAAAUGUUUUCAUUAAUCAAGAACGAAAGUUAGAGGUUCGAAGGCGAUCAGAUACCGCCCUAGUUCUAACCAUAAACGAUGCCAGCUAGCGAUCCGCCGAAGUUCCUCCGAUGACUCGGCGGGCAGCUUCCGGGAAACCAAAGCUUUUGGGUUCCGGGGGAAGUAUGGUUGCAAAGCUGAAACUUAAAGGAAUUGACGGAAGGGCACCACCAGGAGUGGAGCCUGCGGCUUAAUUUGACUCAACACGGGAAACCUCACCAGGCCCAGACACCGGAAGGAUUGACAGAUUGAUAGCUCUUUCUUGAUUCGGUGGGUGGUGGUGCAUGGCCGUUCUUAGUUGGUGGAGCGAUUUGUCUGGUUAAUUCCGAUAACGAACGAGACUCUAGCCUGCUAAAUAGGCGUACCUUAUGGUAUCGCGAAGGCCCCCGGCUUCGGCCGGUGGGUUUUUACUACCAACGUACAAACAAAUCUUCUUAGAGGGACAGGCGG